AGACCCUGUUGAGCUUGACUC
rnacentral:ncRNA from 3 species